AACGCACAUUGCGCCCCCUGGUAUUCCGGGGGGCACACCUGUUCGAGCGCCAUUUCAACCCUCAAGCCUUGCUUGGUGAUGGGCCCCGCCCGCGCGGCGGGCCCGAAACUCGUGGGCGCCCCAGGCCGGACUCCAAGCGUAGCAAAACCCUCGCUUGCGGACGACCGGUCGGAGGCCGCCCCGGACCCCCAAUAUUUAUCAAUGGUUGGCCUCGGAUCAGGUGGGGAUACCCGCUGAACUUAA
rnacentral:misc_RNA from 1 species